ensembl:lncRNA
CGCAAAGAGUUUAGCAAAACAAUUCUUUCCUGGCACACUUAUGUGCUAGGAAAUUGUGCAUCAAUGAAUGAAACCUGAGGACAAAAUUUUCCAAAUAACAAAUCUGAAUCUGCAACUCAACAACAUGAUAUGAUGCUGAGAUACUUUCCUCCCUGUGAAGCUCUCUGGAAAACUGAGAAAUUCUGUUGGAAAUUUUAGAGGAGGAGGCAGGAAGGUUUCAGUAUGAAUUGCCAGGAGCUCGCUGUUCUGGAAAUCCUGAAGUCUCAGUUGAGUGCUCCAGUGCUUUGGCUUUACUUCCAGCAGUGGCAUUCAACCCUUGCAGAUGAACUGCAGACUGCUGUUCCGCUGAUUCAUCUGCACUCUUGUUGUCCAUAGUAUUCAGACUGUAGAAGUCACUCUAGCCUGGAGAAAUGAAAAAACCUGCAAGAGAAGACUGCUUUAGUCAUGUUAGUAGUUCUAUAACAGUUAGUUUCCUAAAGGAGGAAAAGAUGAUAUUACUCCCAGUGACUUUUCUUUAACAGGUAAUUCAGUAAGUUUACUGUAAAGCAGAAUAGAAAAGUAACAAGCCACAUGGCUGGGCAGAAUCCUAACUCUUGAAAGAAAGGUAAAGGAAUAGCAGCACAUGUGAAAUAUACAAUAAAGUUCUUGCUGUACUUCA